rnacentral:lncRNA from 1 species
GUGCAUCGGAUCACCACUUGCAUCUCCGAGGGUAGAAAUAUGUAUAUCACAACAAAAGAAAAAUAAAUACUUGCGCAUGUCAAUUCCAAGACGCAGCAAAAUAUAAAUGAACCUUUUCGACUUACAAAUGUUUUUAGUCUUUCAAGACAAAAAUGAAUUCCAUGUUUUUAACAUUAGAAUCAAGUAACACGACAAAGAAUACACUUCCUGUCUUAUACAUGAUGUUCAAUAGGCAGAAAGCAUUCUGCCCACAGCAAUUGUCUUUGCACGGAGGGCCUCAUCUCUAUUGCACUCCAUAUUUUUAAAAUGACUUGGUUCCCAACUGUUCACCCGUUUUUGGUACACAGUCUUAAUAUGGCAUGUUAACUGUACGCACACCCAAAAACCAGCAAGAACAUAAGAACAAAUACCUGAACUUAAACCCUAAGGACCUCUCAACAAUAAAGAUCCAUCAAAAUAUCAAAUACCCGAUUCAAAGGAAAAGAUAAACUGAAGUGAGUAUGACAAUUUGACAAAAGUUAAGCCAAAUUUUGAUAAAGUGAAGGUUACAAGUAAAAUGCACAGGUGUAUGUUAAUGCACCAUCAUUUACAAGAACUGGAUUAAGUUAUAUAUGUCUACCACGGAGGUUGGAGCAGUACAUAAAAAAUGAGAAAAGAUUGGCUAUUGGGGUCAUCACGCACAUGUUCUUUCAGACAAGCAUAAAACUCUAAUCCAAGUUCGAAUUGCAAGUUCCUUCUCAAUUCGAUAUCAACGAGAAGGAAAUAUAAAGACAAUUCAGUCCAAUGGCACUUAAGCAAAUUGCAGAGAACGCAGCAAAUCGACUCAACGGUAAUUGAGUUGGAGAAACACAUUGUCUGAUUUAAAUUCUGAUAAUCUCUACGCACGAUGUCAUGAACUCAAUAUAACAGCUCUAAUGGUAAAGUAAAUCCCAAAAAACAACAGCUAGCAAAAAUUACCAAAAAAUAUUUAAAAUUCACAAAUCCCAAAUCACACUCAAAAUUCAAAAUUUGAGAUUGCAAUAGAUCCGAAGCCCAUAAAAAAAAAAAAAAAAAAAAAUUAACUUCCAUUUCCGAACCUUCAUAUUCAGCACUCCAGAUUGAAACCCUAGAUUCAGUACCAAAUUCCUAAUUAACCUAAAAAUUCAGAAAAAAUGUAAAGAAUAAAAGAAAUCAUUACCGAUUAAAAUAAAAAUCUGAAGGCCUGGAGUUGAAUUUGUAGUUUUUCUUUUUUCCCACCAAAUUGAAAUGGGGAGAAUUUCUGUGGAGAGCUAGAAAAAUUUGGUCAAAACCCCCCGAAGAAAAUCUGAAAAUGCCCAAAAUUUU